CCUGCCCAAUGAUCUUAAACUUAAAAAAUAUAACUAUUUUUAAAAAGAUUUAAAGGACGCAGUAUCCUGACUGUGAUAAUGUAGCAUAAUCAUUCGCCAUUUAAUUGAUGGAUAGUAUGAAUGGUUGAACGAAUUCUUCACUGUCUUAAAAAAAGAAAUAAUGAAAUUUAAAUAAUAGUAAAGAUGCUAUUUAAAAUUGUAAGACGAAAAGACCCUAUAGAGCUUAACUAUAAGUUCUUUUAGUUAAAAGAACAUAAUUCUCAAAAUAAAGAACUUGGUAGUUUAGUUGGGGCGACUAUCUUCUAAUAUUAACGAAGACAAGCAAAAUUAAUAUAUAAUUUAUUGUAUAACCUAUAAGUUUAACAAUUACAAAAGUAGGCAUAAUGACCCGUUUUCAUUUAGUAAUUAAAGAAAACGAUCAAUAAAUAAAAGCUACCUUAGGGAUAACAGGAUAAUUUUGUUUUAGAGAUCCUAUCGAAAACAAAGUUUGUCACCUCUAUGUUGAAUUAAGAUAUCCUAGUAAUGCAGAA
rnacentral:rRNA from 1 species